UAACGCGUAAUUUUUGGCAAAGUGAC
rnacentral:miRNA from 1 species